rnacentral:pre_miRNA from 1 species
ACAGCGCAGAUGCCAAAAUGUUGCUUUUAUCUGCAUUUGCACCUGCACUUGUGCUCGUUCAUGUUUCUUCCUUCCUUGAAAAACCCUAAAGCCAAAGCUUCAGAGAAUGGAAAAGGUUUUAGAUAUAUGAGAACAAAAAUGACAAGAGGAAAGGAAUAAGGGAARAGAAGGAAAAUGGAAAUCAGAAGGAAGAGCAGGAACAAGCAAGAGGUGCAGGUGCCAGUGCAGGUGAAUGCCAUUUUGGUUCAUUAAAAACA